CCUCCAGAACUCACCCACAUCUCUCCCCCAGACAAUCACACUGUCAUGAUUCUUCUAGUGAGGUUCGGCCUUCCCAGCUGCCCUGAACGCACCCUCCUUCCACACUCUCUGAUUAAUGAUGCGCUUCACCUGCGCGGUGCUCUUUAAAUACCUGUUUGUGACAACUUCUCUCCACCAGAUUGUCUUGGUUCUUCCCUGCACGUAUCCAGCCUUUGUUCUUCUGUCUGCCUGCCUGCCAUUGACCUUGUUAUUCUGACCUGGAUUUUCGUCUCUGCCUGCCCCCUGACUGGUAACUCUGUCUUGUUUGUUUAUUGGAUUCCUGGAUUACUGACCUCUGGACUGAUCUCUGGAUUUGGAUUCUGGAUAACGGACUUUACUUCUCUGCCCCGACGGAGAAACUCGGAAGCACCCGCCUCUGCCUUCCACCAUUCGGAUUCCCUGGUCUCCGCCAGUGAUAUCUUCUCUAACCUUCUCUCUAUUCAGCAGUUGUCAACCCCAUCCAGCGGAAUCCCUCCAGGUUUCUCCGGUCCUGCCCAGUUCUCACUCACCAACUUACACUGGAUGCACAACAGCACCUGAGGAGCUGACCGAGAGUGACCGAAUUUCACGUCUUUUCAUGUUCACAUUGUUCAAUAAAACUACUAUACCUAU